rnacentral:lncRNA from 1 species
UAUCUACAGAUACUGACCUAUAAUCUACUCUGUUUCCUCAGUGCUUUGCGAAUAUUUUAUUGGAGGCUUGGCUAUGCUGCAGCUUAAAGCAAAACUUUGCCGACUGCAGGAAAAAGAUACAAAAGACCCUUUCUGCUGCUUUGUACAAAGAAAAAGAGGCUGCUGGAUUUAAUCGUUACUCAUAAUCCUCUCAAACCAGUGGAGCUCGAACACAGCUGUGAGAGAAAAUGGCAGAGACCUUGCCUUGGUGAAGGAUUAUAGUCAUCACAGUCUAGUGGAUGAACCCCUGGAUCCAGCCCCUUCCCUUUGCAUCCCUGCUGCCCUUGGCGGGUAGGGACCACGUACCAUGGCAGACAAAGCUGCAGCAGGUACCAGAAAGAAAAAGCACUUCUGCAGAGCUGCGUCACUGCAGAAGAUAACGCUGAACAGAUCAGUGAACAGAGGCAGCAUACCUGUAGAAGCGAUAUCUUGGUUGCAGUGCUCUUCAUCACUCAAAGUCUUUUCAUUGUCUAAAGUCCAGCAAGAUGAUGGGGCUGAGAGAAGAACUGAAGAUGUGUUUGAUCAGAAAAAUUAUGAACAUUUCAUAGCUUAUGACGCAACUGCAAUGAUUUUCUUGGCCCCAUCCUCUAAACUGUUUCCCAUGGAAAACUUCUGCACCCUCGACUAACUCCACAAGCAGUAAGUGUAUGGCCGUGCACAAAAUCUUUACGUGUGAGAAGCUUGGCAGAAUGCAGUCUUCACCUGAAUGCAGGCCUCAGUACAGUUUUGCAGAGCAAUGCAGAACAGGAGGAGAGGAAAUGAAGCAUUUUUAUUUGUGCACAUCUAACUGAGACUUUUAUUUAUUUUUGUAAGUAGACGAGGAACGGGAGAAGCAACCUGAUUCUUACCUGCUCUGUACUAUAUUAGUGUAAUCACUGUGCUGGAAAUGACCAGUUUUCUUCUGCAGUGUUACUUCUGUAUGCAGCUGCUAUACAGGAAAAUUUGCCAAAGAACAGUGUUAAAACUUUACCAAACCUUCGACUGAAAUUUAUGUAAAAUCUACAUUGCUAUACACAUCAGUUUAUAAUAUGACUGUGUACAUUGGUGACUAAAUAAAAUAUUUUCUUGGCGGUGAUAGUGCA